rnacentral:lncRNA from 1 species
CUUCUGCGCCUGCGCAUGAGUUGGACUAACCGGGCUUCUUAUCUUUCUCUGAGAAUUGACUCCUGAAAUAUUUGGGUUUCGGAUUCCGUGUCUUCACUACCUGACCGGUCAGGUCUGGCUUGCUCCUCCGUAUCUUCCAGACAUAGCCCAACGCGCAGAUUUCCCAUGUGGCUUUAAGCAGUUUGCCAGCUAGCUUAAUAUGUGCUGCUAAAUUGAGAUGUAUGUAGAUGAGGUCAAACCCUCAUCAGUCGAUCAGUCCUUCAGCUAGUCGCUGUGCUCUCAGGAAUGAGUAAGAGUAAGUCCAGAACCUCAGGCAUGACAGUUUGGGAAAGACUAUUGGAAAGCUUGUCUGGAGUGUUCUUUCCAAAACGAACUUAUUACUUCCAAAAGCUUCCCAAAGACAUUCUAGGCACAGUGGUUCUCAAGAGAGGCUGAAUACGUUUGUUUAAAAACAAAAAAAUGCAGGUUCUCUGGGUCUCAUCUCAAACGUACUCAGAAUCUUUGAGAAUGGGGUCUGGAAAUUUGCACUUUUGCAGACUACCCCAGUGACCUAAUGGUGCAACUCCUCCGCGGAUCACUUUUUUGAGAAUCUCUGCCAUAAAAGGACCUGGCAUUUGAACCAGAAUAGAUAAUAAUUGACUUUUGGAAAUGGAAAAAAAAGUUAACCUACUCUAAAAACUGUUAUGCUAAGAGAAAGUGCUACAUAAAUAAUUAGGAAAUUUAUUUUAUUUUUUAAAAAAAGAAAGAAAGAGAGAAAGAAAACAAACUGUUAGGGAGAUGAAAGGGCAG